rnacentral:lncRNA from 1 species
GGGGAGGUGCCAGAGCUGAUCAAGCAGUGUAAUUUUAUACAUUACUGAAUCAGUGCAGGAGAAACCUGAAGGGACAAAGCAUCAUCUUCUCUUUGGACUGCACUGUAAAAUCCUACAGCUCUCUUAUCCCAGCCAUGCUCUGAUACAUUUUUUCUCUCCUUUUUCUGAUUUUGGUGUGAAUGAUAAGUGAUCUGAUGAUGGCUCUCGUUAUGGAACCUAUUAGCAAGUGGAUGCCCAAGCAAGUAGUGGAUUGGAUGAAAGGUGAUCUGAUGCAGUGUCUGUGCAGCACUCGUGUGUAGUUUGGGGAGAUACAAGGAGCGUAAGGUGCCGGUGGCUGGUCUGAGGAAUCCUGAUGCUUUGGUGACAUGUCCUGAUUCGUUCAGGCUUCCCAGCUUGUGCUGCUCUGUGUGAGGCUCUGCGUCUCCGGCGGCCCCGGUACCGAGGACAGUGCAUCCUGCGCCCGAUGUGGGGCGGGCAGUGGGAAGCGUGCGGUGCUGAGCAUGGCUUCGCGGGGGAAACUCUUCCAGAUAACUUGACAGGAAUGACAAUUUCCCUGCACAUUUGCGGCUUCACAACACAGCCAUAAGCUGUGACAUGUUUUGUUUUAUAAUGCUCAGCAGUGUUACACACAGCUUGGUUUGGAGGGGAGGGGGAA